GUAAAAUAUCAUUCCAAUGGGCUUGAUAAUGAUCCAAUUGAGAUCGACUUCACUCCCCCUUUCAGGAGGAUUGACAUGAUAGAGGAACUAGAAAAGAUGGCAAAUCUCAAUAUACCCAAGGACUUGUCUAGUGAUGAAGCGAAUAAAUAUCUUAGGGAGGCAUGCCAAAAGUUUGAAAUCAAAUGUCCUCCACCUGAAACAACUGCUCGCUUGCUGGAUAAACUUG
rnacentral:misc_RNA from 1 species